GCGGCUGGGGAUGAGGCUGAAGCUGGGGCUGGGGCUGGGGCUGGGGCUAGGGCUGGGGCUGGGGCUGGGGGCGGACCAGGCCGUCUGCCCUUCCUCUACCCCUCCCACCGGCGGCCCUAGGGUUGGCAAAGACGGCCCAAGUCGAGUCUUGCGUCCUUCGUGCGUCCCGGCGGCAGAGUGGCUUUGGUGAGCUCAUGGAGUCUUCCCACAACGAGGUUUCCUUGUCGCUGAGAGAAGCUGUGGUCAGCCUGCCCUGGGGCAGUGGAGCACGUCAUUUAAACAUGGGUCCUGCAGCCUGGGAUGCCUCCUCCACUCACAUCUGGGCCCUGCUUCUUCCCAACUGAGUGACUGUGAACAAUUUUCUGGUCCUUCCAUGCUUCAGAUCUCCCAUCUGUAACAUGGGGUUGAUGAUCAUCAUAGUCCUUGUCUCACAGGGUGGUGUGAAGGGUGAGUGGAAAUAAAUGUGCAACUUAGAGAACACCCGGUACAUGGUCAACACUGUAAAUGCUGCCCUUCCCACAGGCCCAGAGCUACCCUACCUUCCAACUUACUACAAACUGG